rnacentral:tRNA from 2 species
GGACUUGUAGCUCAGUUGGUUAGAGCGCUGCAUUCACAUUGCAGAAGUCAGAGGUUCGAAUCCUCUCAGGUCCA